AUUGAACGCUGGCGGCAUGCUUUACACAUGCAAGUCGAACGGCAGCACGGGGGCAACCCUGGUGGCGAGUGGCGAACGGGUGAGUAAUGCAUCGGAACGUGCCCUGUCGUGGGGGAUAACACAUCGAAAGAUGUGCUAAUACCGCAUACGACCUGAGGGUGAAAGCGGGGGACCGUACGGCCUCGCGCGAUAGGAGCGGCCGAUGUCUGAUUAGCUAGUUGGUGGGGUAAAGGCCUACCAAGGCGACGAUCAGUAGCUGGUCUGAGAGGACGACCAGCCACACUGGGACUGAGACACGGCCCAGACUCCUACGGGAGGCAGCAGUGGGGAACUUUGGACAAUGGGGGCAACCCUGAUCCAGCCAUGCCGCGUGCGGGAAGAAGGCCUUCGGGUUGUAAACCGCUUUUGGCAGGAACGAAACGGUGCGGGCGAAUACCCUGUGCUAAUGACGGUACCUGCAGAAUAAGCACCGGCUAACUACGUGCCAGCCGCCGCCGUAA
rnacentral:rRNA from 1 species